UACGGAGGGUGCGAGCGUUGUCCGGAAUUAUUGGGCGUAAAGGGCUCGUAGGCGGUUUGUCGCGUCGGGAGUGAAAACCUCGGGCUUAACUCGGGGCUUGCUUUCGAUACGGGCAGACUAGAGGUAUGCAGGGGAGAACGGAAUUCCUGGUGUAGCGGUGAAAUGCGCAGAUAUCAGGAGGAACACCGAUGGCGAAGGCAGGUCUCUGGGCAUUAACUGACGCUGAGGAGCGAAAGCAUGGGGAGCGAACAGG
rnacentral:rRNA from 1 species